CCUACGGGUGGCUGCAGUGAGGAAUAUUGGUCCCUGGGCGAGCGCCUGAACCCGCCAAGUCGCGUGACGGAUGACGGCCCUACGGGUUGUAAACUUCUUUUGUCAGGGCGCCAUUGGGUCCACGCGUGGGCUUAGCGAGAGUACCUGAAGAAAAAGCUUCGGCUAACUCCGUGCCAGCAGCCGCCGUAAUACGGAGGAUGCGAGCGUUAUCCGGAUUUAUUGGGUUUAAAGGGUGCGUAGGCGGAUUGAUAAGUUAGAGGUGAAAUGUCCGAGCUUAACUCGGGAACUGCCUCUAAUAUUGUUGAGCUAGAGAGUAGAGGCGGUAGGCGGAAUGUAUGGUGUAGCGGUGAAAUGCUUAGAGAUCAUACAGAACACCGAUUGCGAAGGCAGCUUACCAAUCUAUAUCUGACGUUGAGGCACGAAAGCGUGGGGAGCAAACAGGAUUAGAUACCUUUGUAGUC
rnacentral:rRNA from 1 species